rnacentral:rRNA from 1 species
AUUGAACGCUGGCGGCAUGCCUUACACAUGCAAGUCGAACGGCAGCGGACCUUCGAGUGCCGGCGAGUGGCGAACGAGUGAGUAAUAUAUCGGAACGUACCUUUCAGUGGGGAUAACAUAGCGAAAGUUACGCUAAUACCGCAUAUUCUGUGAGCAGGAAAGCAGGGGGAUCGCAAGACCUUGCGCUGAUUGAGCGGCCGAUAUCAGAUUAGCUAGUUGGUGAGGUAAAGGCUCACCAAGGCGACGAUCUGUAGCGGGUCUGAGAGGAUGAUCCGCCACACUGGAACUGAGACACGGUCCAGACUCCUACGGGAGGCAGCAGUGGGGAAUUUUGGACAAUGGGCGCAAGCCUGAUCCAGCCAUGCCGCGUGAGUGAAGAGGGCCUUCGGGUUGUAAAGCUCUUUCGGCCGGGAAGAAAUCGCACAGGUUAAUACCCUGUGUGGAUGACGGUACCGGAAUAAGAAGCACCGGCUAACUACGUG